UUGCUUUGGCAGCAUAUAAACUAAAAGUAGGAUGGUACAAAGAAGGUUAACAUGGCACCUGAGCAAGGAUGACAUGCAAAUUUCUAAAGCAUGCCAUAUUUUA